UGCCAGCCGCCGCGGUAAUACGGAGGGAACUAGCGUUAUUCGGAAUUACUGGGCGUAAAGCGCGCGUAGGCGGCUUUUUAAGUCAGAGGUGAAAUCCCGGGGCUCAACCCCGGAACUGCCUUUGAAACUGGAAAGCUAGAAUAUUGGAGAGGUAAGUGGAAUUCCGAGUGUAGAGGUGAAAUUCGUAGAUAUUCGGAAGAACACCAGUGGCGAAGGCGACUUACUGGACAAUUAUUGACGCUGAGGUACGAAAGUGUGGGGAGCAAACAGGAUUAGAUA
rnacentral:rRNA from 1 species